rnacentral:rRNA from 1 species
UUGACCUCGAAUCAGGUAGGACUACCCGCUGAACUUAAGCAUAUCAAUAAGCGGAGGAAAAGAAACCAACAGGGAUUGCCCUAGUAACGGCGAGUGAAGCGGCAACAGCUCAAAUUUGAAAUCUGGCCUUCGGGUCCGAGUUGUAAUUUGCAGAGGAUGCUUUUGGUGAGGUGCCUUCCGAGUUCCCUGGAACGGGACGCCAUAGAGGGUGAGAGCCCCGUCUGGUCGGACACCAAUCCUUUGUAAAGCUCCUUCGACGAGUCGAGUAGUUUGGGAAUGCUGCUCUAAAUGGGAGGUAUAUGUCUUCUAAAGCUAAAUACCGGCCAGAGACCGAUAGCGCACAAGUAGAGUGAUCGAAAGAUGAAAAGCACUUUGAAAAGAGAGUUAAACAGUACGUGAAAUUGUUGAAAGGGAAGCGCUCAUGACCAGACUUGGGCUUGGUUGAUCAACUUGGGUUCUCCCGGGUGCACUCUUCCUCGUCCAGGCCAGCAUCAGUUCGCUGCGGGGGAUAAAGGUUUCGGGAAUGUGGCUCCCUCGGGAGUGUUAUAGCCCGUUGCGUAAUACCCU